CCUACGUGUGGCAGCAGUGGGGAAUAUUGCGCAAUGGGCGAAAGCCUGACGCAGCGACGCCGCGUGAGGGAUGAAGGUCUUCGGAUCGUAAACCUCUGUCAGCAGGGAAGAACGGUCACUGUGCUAAUCAGCAGUGAAUUGACGGUACCUGCAAAGGAAGCACCGGCUAACUCCGUGCCAGCAGCCGCGGUAAUACGGAGGGUGCGAGCGUUAAUCGGAAUUACUGGGCGGAAAGCGCUCGUAGGCGGUAUGUCAAGUCAAGUGUGAAAUCCCCGCGCUCAACGUGGGAACUGCCGUUGAAACUGGCAAACUGGAGUGUGUGAGAGGAUAGUGGAAUGCCAGGUGUAGGAGUGAAAUCCGUAGAUAUCUGGAGGAACAUCAGUGGCGAAGGCGACUAUCUGGCACAUAACUGACGCUGAGGAGCGAAAGCGUGGGUAGCAAACAGGAUUAGAUACCCCUGUAGUC
rnacentral:rRNA from 1 species